UACAGAGACUGCAAGCGUUAUUCGGAUUCACUGGGCGUAAAGGGUGCGCAGGCGGCCGGGUGUGUCAGAUGUGAAAUCCCGAGGCUCAACCUCGGAACUGCGUCUGAAACUACUCGGCUAGAGUACUGGAGAGGGUAACGGAAUUCACGGUGUAGCAGUGAAAUGCGUAGAUAUCGUGAGGAACACCAGAGGCGAAGGCGGUUACCUGGACAGUUACUGACGCUCAGGCACGAAAGCAUGGGGGAGCAAAAAGGG
rnacentral:rRNA from 1 species